GACGAACGCUGGCGGCGUGCUUAACACAUGCAAGUCGAACGGUGAAGCCCUUCGGGGUGGAUCAGUGGCGAACGGGUGAGUAACACGUGAGCAACCUGCCCUUGGCUCUGGGAUAACUACCGGAAACGGUGGCUAAUACCGGAUAGGACGUGUCCGGGCAUCCGGGUGCGUGGAAAGUUUUUCGGCUGGGGAUGGGCUCGCGGCCUAUCAGCUUGUUGGUGGGGUGAUGGCCUACCAAGGCGGUGACGGGUAGCCGGCCUGAGAGGGCGACCGGCCACACUGGGACUGAGACACGGCCCAGACUCCUCCGGAAGGCAGCAGUGGGGAAUAUUGCGCAAUAGGCGGAAGCCUGACGCAGCGCCGCCGCGUGGGGGAUGAAGGCCUUCGGGUUGUAAACCUCUUUCAGUGCCGAAGAAGCGUGAGUGACGGUAGGCGCAGAAGAAGCACCGGCUAACUACGUGCCAGCAGCCGCCGUAACAC
rnacentral:rRNA from 1 species